GAUGAACGCUAGCUACAGGCUUAACACAUGCAAGUCGCAGGGUAACAUGAGGAAAGCUUGCUUUCCUUGAUGACGACUGGCGCACGGGUGAGUAACGCGUAUCCAACCUUCCCAUAACUACGGGAUAACCCGUUGAAAGACGGCCUAAUACCGUAUGAUAUCGUUUGCUGACAUCAAAUAACGAUUAAAGGUUUAGCGGUUAUGGAUGGGGAUGCGUCUGAUUAGCUUGUUGGCGGGGUAACGGCCCACCAAGGCGACGAUCAGUAGGGGUUCUGAGAGGAAGCUCCCCCACAUUGGAACUGAGACACGGUCCAAACUCCUACGGGAGGCAGCAGUGAGGAAUAUUGGUCAAUGGGCGAGAGCCUGAACCAGCCAAGUAGCGUGCAGGACGACGGCCCUAUGGGUUGUAAACUGCUUUUAUGUGGGGAUAAAGUGCGUGACGUGUCAUGCAUUGCAGGUACCACAUGAAUAAGGACCGGCUAAUUCCGUG
rnacentral:rRNA from 1 species